AAGUCGUAACAAGGUUUCCGUAGGUGAACCUGCGGAAGGAUCAUUAACACGUAUCCAAACGUUAAAACCCCCCGUGAACCUUCAUCCUGCUCUUGUAACCCGCGUAGUACGCAAUCUAUGAUAGAUCAUAGCCCGGAAAGUUGUAGUGAUUCAGAGACCUCUGGCUACGUGCGAACAUUGGAACAGUUACAAUCGAGCGGUAGUUCUAUAGGCAAUGUUUCUCCAUGCAGUCAGUGUCGGAAAGUGUCAUUGAUUGUGCAAGGAUAGCGCUUCUACGAUUCCUGUAGACCGUACACUGGGGCAGGAGCUUUGCCAAAGGGUCCCCAUGCCCCCUAAUAACCCCUUUCUC
rnacentral:misc_RNA from 1 species